GACGAACGCUGGCGGCGUGCCUAAUACAUGCAAGUAGAACGCUGAAGGAGGAGCUUGCUUCUCUGGAUGAGUUGCGAACGGGUGAGUAACGCGUAGGUAACCUGCCUGGUAGCGGGGGAUAACUAUUGGAAACGAUAGCUAAUACCGCAUAAUAGUAGAUGUUGCAUGACAUUUGCUUAAAAGGUGCAAUUGCAUCACUACCAGAUGGACCUGCGUUGUAUUAGCUAGUUGGUGGGGUAACGGCUCACCAAGGCGACGAUACAUAGCCGACCUGAGAGGGUGAUCGGCCACACUGGGACUGAGACACGGCACAGACUCCUACGGGAGGCAGUAGUAGGGAAUCUUCGGCAAUGGACGGGAGUCUGACCGAGCAACGCCGAGUGAGUGAAGAAGGUUUUCGGAUCGUAAAGCUCUGUUGUAAGAGCAGAACGAGGGUGAGAGUGGAAAGUUCACACUGUGACGGUAUCUUAACAGAAAGGGACGGCUAACUACGUG
rnacentral:rRNA from 1 species